rnacentral:rRNA from 1 species
GGUUGAUCCUGCCAGUGUCAUUGCUCAUUUC